AUGUGGAAGAAGCCGAUGGCAGGUGUUGUUAAAAUCAAUCUAGAUGCGUCACUACAUGCUGAAACACUGUCGGGAGCCACGGGAGUGGUAGCGUGUGAUGAUCAUGGAGAGUUUAUAGCAGCAGCAACUUGGUAUUUACCUCUUAUAAGCAUUGUGGAUUCGGCAGAGAUCACUGCAAUUCAAAAUGGAUUUAUGCUAGCUGCGAAUAUUGGGUGCAACCGGCUGAUUAUUGAAUCUGAUAGCACCUUUGCUUUUGAAGGUGUUAACCAAGUCGAUGCAUAUUUGGGUCCUGAUCUUCCGAUCAUUGUGAGUGUAGGCAUAUUGGGUGCAAGUACGACUGUUGUCCAUUGCUUUAGAGAGGCUAAACAUGCUUCUAGUAGUUGA
rnacentral:rRNA from 1 species